CAGUAGCCGCGGUAAUACGUAGGAUGCAAGCGUUAAUCGGAAUUACUGGGCGUAAAGCGUGCGCAGGCGGUUUGUUAAGACAGAUGUGAAAUCCCCGGGCUCAACCUGGGAACUGCAUUUGUGACUGGCAGGCUAGAGUAUGGCAGAGGGGGGUGGAAUUCCGCGUGUAGCAGUGAAAUGCGUAGAUAUGCGGAGGAACACCGAUGGCGAAGGCAGCCCCCUGGGCCAAUACUGACGCUCAUGCACGAAAGCGUGGGGAGCAAACAGGAUUAGAUACCCCAGUAGUCCCUGUCUCUUAUAC
rnacentral:rRNA from 1 species